rnacentral:lncRNA from 10 species
GUUCUCUCCUCCCUACGGUGUCAGUUGGCUACUUUAGCCUUCACCACCCAGCGCAUGCUGCUUGGUAAUCACUGAGUUGGCUGGACUGUCUUCUCUGGGCUGAAGUCAACAGGGAGCAGGACUGUAUACUCUUGCAUUUGAGGAUUUAACCUACUGCAAUGUGGUCAUGAUGGCUGAGGAUAGAGGUGGAACAGGUGCCAUGCUGCUAUCACAAGACGGAGACCACAUACUCUAAGAAUGCUGAACAGAAAAAUAAAAGGAGUCUGAGUCCCUGAUGACAUAAUAGAGCUACCAUAACCACCAUGGAUAUUGUCUAGGUGCUUUGUAAUAUAAAAAGAGUAAACCCUCUAAUUGGUUCAACCACUGUGUUUGCAUGUUAUUUACUGCAUGCAGUCAAACUCAAAUCCCGAUUGUU